UUAGUUCAAUAUGGUAGAAUGUGGGUCUCCAAAACCCAAUGUCGUAAGUUCAAAUCUUUAUA
rnacentral:tRNA from 1 species